AUUGAACGCUGGCGGCAUGCCUUACACAUGCAAGUCGAACGGCAGCACGGGAGCAAUCCUGGUGGCGAGUGGCGAACGGGUGAGUAAUAUAUCGGAACGUGCCCAGUCGUGGGGGAUAACGUAGCGAAAGCUACGCUAAUACCGCAUACGAUCUAUGGAUGAAAGCGGGGGAUCGCAAGACCUCGCGCGAUUGGAGCGGCCGAUAUCAGAUUAGGUAGUUGGUGAGGUAAAGGCUCACCAAGCCGACGAUCUGUAGCUGGUCUGAGAGGACGACCAGCCACACUGGGACUGAGACACGGCCCAGACUCCUACGGGAGGCAGCAGUGGGGGAAUUUUGGACAAUGGGCGCAAGCCUGAUCCAGCAAUGCCGCGU
rnacentral:rRNA from 1 species